CCCCGCAGCGAGGGGCGAGCUGGAGCCGGGGGCGCACCCUAGGGCGGGGAGCCCAGCUGAGGAACCCGCUCCUGCCCCCGCACUGCACUUGGCCCCCUCUCCAGACCCGAUGGAGGAGGAGGAAGAUGAGAUGGAGGAGCAGGAGGGGAGCUCUCAGUCUGAGGGACCCAGACUGGUGAUCUCCAUGGAUGGGGAUUCAUCACAGUCCCCUUCUCCGCCAAAGUGGAACUCUCCUGUUCCUCUGGACGGGCAGCCCAAGCUGCAGCAGGAGGAAGAGGAACCAGAGGAGGAGGAGGGAGACCAGGAGUUCCAGGUGCAGACGUUGAGGAUCCCAGCAGAUGGGGACUCAUUGGACUCUGCCACUUUCCCAGAGGAGCUGUCGGAGGAGGAGGAGGGAGAUGAGGAGGAAGAGGAGCUGGUAAUCAGAAGGGUGAAGGCAGAGGAGGAAGAGGACCAAGAGUUGGAGGUACAGAAGCUG
rnacentral:lncRNA from 1 species